rnacentral:lncRNA from 1 species
AUUUGGGGUCAGAUGCUGAGAUUUGGGGCCGAUUGGGCUGAAUUUGGGGUCGGGUGCUGAGGUUUGGGGUCAGUUUGUGAGAGUUUGGGGUCAGGGCUGGAGAUUUAGGGUCAUUUCAUGAGAGUUUGGGGUCAGAUGCUGAGAUUUGGGGUCAGAUGCUGAGAUUUGGGGCCGAUUGGGCUGAAUUUGGGGUCAGAUGCUGAGAUUUGGGGUCAUUUCAUGAGAGUUCGGGGUCAGAUGCUGAGAUUUGGGGUCAGAUGCUGAGAUUUGGGGCCGAUUGGGCUGAAUUUGGGGUCGGGUGCUGAGAUUUGGGGUCAUUUUGUGAGGGUUUGGGGUCAGAUGCUGAGAUUUGGGAUCAGUUCAUGAGAGUUUGGGGUCAGAUGCUGAGAUUUGGGGUCAGAUGCUGAGAUUUGGGGCCGAUUGGGCUGAAUUUGGGGUCAGAUCUGGAGAUAUGGGGUCAUUUCGUGAGAGUUUGGGGUCAGAUGCUGAGAUUUGGGAUCAGUUCAUGAGAGUUUGGGGUCAGAUGCUGAGAUUUGGGGUCAGAUGCUGAGAUUUGGGGCCGAUUGGGCUGAAUUUGGGGUCAGGUGCUGAGGUUUGGGGUCAGUCUGUGAGAGUUUGGGGUCAGAUGCUGAGAUUUGGGGUCAGUUUGUGAGAGUUUGGGGUCAGGGCCGGAGAUUUGGGGUCAGAUGCUGAGAUUUGGGGCCGAUUGGGCUGAAUUUGGGGUCGGGUGCUGAGGUUUGGGGUCAGUUUGUGAGAGUUUAGGGUCAGAUGCUGAGAUUUGGGGUCCGUUUGUGAGAGUUUGGGGUCAGGAGCUGAGAUUUGGGGUCAGGUGCUGAGAUGUGGGGUGAAUUCAGUGGGAUUUGGGGUCAUUUCCUGAGGUUUUGGGGUCAGGUGCUGAGAUUUGGGGUCAGGUGCUGAGAUUUGGGGCCAAUUCAGCUGAAUUUGGGGUCAUUUCCUGAGAUUUGGGGUCGUUUUGUGGGAGUUUGGGGUGGAUUCUUUGGGAUUUGGGGUCAGGUCCUGCGAUUUUGGGGUCGAUCCCGGGGAUUUUGGGGUCACUUCUGUGCAAUUUGGGGUCGAUUCGGUUCCCAUUCCCCCCUCUUGGGGUCCCAAUCCCAAACAUUUGGGGUCGUUUCCUGGCAAUUGGGGUCCGCUGUGCCAAAUCCCAUUGAAUCCCCCCCAACUUCUGCCCCUAUUGGUGCCCCCCCUCCAAGUGCCUUCACCCACCCCAAAAAUGGGGGGGGUCCCCCGACCCCACAAUGUGCCCCCCCGACCCCACAAUCCACCCCUAAGACCCAUAACUCCCCCCCCCAGCCUUCCCCGACCCCAUAACCCCCCAGGUGCACCCCAACCCCACAAGGUGCCCCAUAACCCCCCCCCGACCCCUCAUCCUGACCCCACUAUGUGCCCCCCCCAACCCCAUAACCCACCCAUUAACCCUCCCCCAGCCCCCCCCCCCGACCCCAUAACCCCCCAAGGCGCACCCCAACCCCACAGUGUGCCCCAUAACCCCCCCCGACCAACCCCACAUCCUGACCCCAUAACCCCCCCCCAACCCCACAUCCUGACCCCACUUUGUGCCCUCCCCGACCCCACAACCCCCCAAGGCGCACCCCAACCCCACAAGGUGCCCCGUAACCCCCCCGAACAACCCCACAUCCUGACCCC